UGUGGGAAAGCCUUCAGAGUGAGGUC
rnacentral:piRNA from 1 species